AUUGAGCGCUGGCGGCAUGCCUUACACAUGCAAGUCGAACGGUAACAGGUCUCCGGAUGCUGACGAGUGGCGAACGGGUGAGUAAUACAUCGGAACGUGCCUAGUAGUGGGGGAUAACUACUCGAAAGAGUGGCUAAUACCGCAUGAGAUCUACGGAUGAAAGCAGGGGAUCGCAAGACCUUGUGCUACUAGAGCGGCCGAUGGAAGAUUAGGUAGUUGGUGGGAUAAAAGCUUACCAAGCCGACGAUCUGUAGCUGGUCUGAGAGGACGAUCAGCCACACUGGGACUGAGACACGGCCCAGACUCCUACGGGAGGCAGCAGUGGGGAAUUUUGGACAAUGGGCGCAAGCCUGAUCCAGCAAUGCCGCGUGCAGGAUGAAGGCCUUCGGGUUGUAAACUGCUUUUGUACGGAACGAAAAGCCCUGGGUUAAUACCCUGGGGUCAUGACGGUACCGUAAGAAUAAGCACCGGCUAACUACGUGCCAGCCGCCGCCGUAA
rnacentral:rRNA from 1 species